GUACGCUGUCUGGCAGCACGUAUGCUAAAAGUGAAAAGAUACAGAGAGGAUUACAUGGCCCCUGAACAAGGAUGUAUACAAAUUUGUGACACAUUCCACACUUAA
rnacentral:snRNA from 1 species